AACGAACGCUGGCGGCAGGCUUAACACAUGCAAGUCGAACGCUCCGCAAGGGGCGUGGCAGACGGGUGAGUAACGCGUGGGAACAUACCCUUUUCUACGGAAUAGCUCUGGGAAACUGGAAUUAAUACCGUAUACGCCCUACGGGGGAAAGAUUUAUCGGGGAAGGAUUGGCCCGCGUUGUAUUAGCUAGUUGGUGGGGUAAAGGCCUACCAAGGCGACGAUCCAUAGCUGGUCUGAGAGGAUGAUCAGCCACAUUGGGACUGAGACACGACCCAAACUCCAAAGGGAGGAAGCAGUGGGGAAUAUUGGACAAUGGGCGCAAGCCUGAUCCAGCCAUGCCGCGUGAGUGAUGAAGGCCUUAGGGUUGUAAAGCUCUUUCACCGAUGAAGAUAAUGACGGUAGUCGGAGAAGAAGCCCCGGCUAACUUCGUG
rnacentral:rRNA from 1 species